GCAUAUGGGGAAACGAUCCAGGACUUCAAGCGACUUCCUCUUUCUGCAGAGUCCAGCCUUGGGGCCUCUAGAUAGCCUUGAGCCAGCAGCUGUACAAGCGCUUGCCCUCAACCAAGUUGGCGCAGGCGGCUUCUCUCGAGAACAUGUGACUCUUCCAGGUCCCGCCUCUGCCCUCCCAGAGAGGAGGCUAAAAAGCCCAGCCGCUGGUCGGUGGGCAGCCUGGCCAGUAUGUCCCUAAAAUGGAGUGCGUGUUGGGUCGCGCUGGGCCAGCUGCUGUGCAGCUGCGCGCUGGCUCUGAAGGGCGGGAUGCUGUUCCCGAAGGAGAGCCCGUCGCGGGAGCUCAAGGCGCUGGACGGACUGUGGCACUUCCGCGCCGACCUCUCGAACAACCGGCUGCAGGGUUUCGAGCAGCAAUGGUACCGGCAGCCGCUACGGGAGUCGGGCCCAGUCUUGGACAUGCCUGUCCCUUCUAGCUUCAAUGACAUCACCCAAGAAGCAGCCCUUCGGGACUUUAUUGGCUGGGUGUGGUAUGAACGGGAAGCAAUCCUGCCACGGCGAUGGACCCAAGAUACCGACAUGAGAGUGGUGUUGAGGAUCAACAGUGCCCAUUAUUAUGCAGUUGUGUGGGUGAAUGGGAUUCAUGUGGUGGAACAUGAGGGAGGUCACCUCCCCUUUGAGGCUGACAUUAGCAAGCUGGUCCAGAGUGGGCCCCUGACCACCUGCCGGAUCACGAUUGCCAUCAACAACACACUGACCCCUCAUACCCUUCCGCCGGGGACCAUCGUCUACAAGACUGACACCUCCAUGUAUCCCAAGGGUUACUUUGUCCAGGACACAAGCUUUGACUUCUUCAACUAUGCGGGACUGCAUCGAUCUGUGGUCCUCUAUACCACCCCUACCACUUACAUCGAUGAUAUCACUGUGAUCACUAAUGUGGAGCAAGACAUCGGGCUGGUGACCUACUGGAUUUCUGUGCAGGGCAGUGAACAUUUCCAGCUAGAAGUGCAACUUUUGGAUGAGGGUGGCAAAGUCGUGGCCCAUGGGACAGGGAACCAGGGUCAACUUCAGGUUCCCAGUGCCAACCUCUGGUGGCCUUACCUGAUGCAUGAGCAUCCAGCCUACAUGUACUCCUUGGAGGUGAAGGUGACAACAACUGAGUCUGUGACUGACUACUACACCCUUCCUAUCGGGAUUCGAACAGUGGCUGUCACAAAGAGCAAGUUCCUCAUAAACGGGAAGCCCUUCUAUUUCCAAGGGGUCAAUAAGCACGAGGAUUCAGAUAUCCGAGGGAAAGGCUUCGACUGGCCGCUGCUGGUAAAGGAUUUCAACCUGCUCCGUUGGCUCGGGGCAAAUUCCUUUCGUACCAGCCACUAUCCCUACUCAGAGGAGGUACUUCAGCUCUGUGACCGAUACGGGAUUGUGGUCAUCGAUGAGUGUCCCGGUGUGGGCAUUGUGCUACCUCAGAGUUUUGGCAACGAGUCACUUCGGCACCACCUAGAGGUGAUGGAGGAGCUGGUUCGCCGGGACAAAAAUCACCCUGCGGUUGUGAUGUGGUCUGUGGCCAAUGAGCCUUCCUCUGCUCUGAAACCCGCCGCAUAUUACUUUAAGCCCCGUACGUGGAUGUUAUCUGUGUAAACAGCUACUUUUCUUGGUAUCAUGACUAUGGGCAUUUGGAGGUGAUUCAGCCACAGCUGAAUAGCCAGUUUGAGAACUGGUAUAAGACGCAUCAGAAGCCGAUUAUCCAGAGCGAGUAUGGAGCAGACGCAAUCCCAGGGAUCCACGAGGACCCGCCUCGCAUGUUCAGUGAGGAGUACCAGAAGGCUGUUCUGGAGAAUUACCAUUCAGUUCUGGAUCAGAAACGUAAAGAAUACGUGGUCGGAGAGCUCAUCUGGAAUUUCGCCGACUUCAUGACGAACCAGUCACCGCUGAGAGUAAUCGGAAACAAGAAGGGGAUCUUCACUCGCCAGAGACAGCCCAAAACUUCGGCCUUUAUUUUGCGAGAGAGAUACUGGAGGAUUGCCAACGAAACCGGAGGUCACGGUUCAGGGCCGAGAACCCAGUGUUUCGGAAGCAGACCGUUCACGUUCUAAAGUUACAACUACCUCACUGCAGACUCAAAGGUGUCCCCAGACACUUCCUGACACUAGUGUUUCUAUUUGGGAUUUUGUGAACUGAUACAAGGGGACUUUAGAAGUGACAUCAAAGCUUUUCUUCCGUGGGGAUAAUAACUUACAGUGCCUUAGGCUCAGUAAUAUGUCCUGCUGAGAGGUGUCCAAGAUAAUUUGUUAGUUUUUUGGCCUUGGCUUUGUGAACUCUUGAAAGCCUGCUGUGUGAACAUUCUCACUAAAUUAAGAGCUACUGGUGAGAGGCUGGAGUGAAGGCUGGCUCACAAUUUAAGAGCACUGACUGUUCUACUGGAGGUUCCAGAUUCAAUUCCUAGCACCCACCUGGUGGCUAACUAUGAGCUGGUCCUCCAUUUCCCAGGUGAUCCAAAUGCCCUUUUGGCCCCUGCGGGUACCACAUGUAUGUGGUAUGUGGAUCUACAUGUGGGGAAAAAAGUCAUACAUGCAAAAUAAAAAUGAAUCUAAAAAAAAAAACUGUUUCUUUCGUUACUAUCAUUGUCGUCAUUGCUGUUUGAGGCAGGGUUUUUCUGUGUAGCCCUGGCUGCCCUGGAACUUAUUCUGUAGACACACUGGCCUCAAAAUCAAGAGAUCUACCUGGCUCCGCCUCCCAAGUGCUGGGAUUAAAGGUGUUUGCCACUGCCGCCACCGCCACCACCACCACACAGCAAAUUUGUUUUAAAGUGCUGUGACAGAUUGUUCACUGCCCUGGGACGACCCCCAUGCUUGACCAUCUAAACAGGCUAGUCUUGACCCAGUGAGAGUGAAAGAGUCACUCACCAAAUGCCACAGAGGAGCUGGGAGUGGUGGCACAUGGUUUGAAUCCUUAAGUUUAAGGCCAGCCUGGUCUACAAAGUGAGUUCUAGGAUAGCAAGGGCUACACAGAGAAACUCCUGUCUUUAAAAAACAGGGAGGGGGUGCAGGGGAAGAAGAGACUAUUGUUAGUUCAAAUGGGAAGAAAUUUUAGGGGUUCUGUAUUUCAUGUCACCAUGGACCUCUUAUAUUUUUCAAAAUACCCAAGUUUUGUGUCUUAGUUUAAUAUAAUUUUUUAAAUAUUUUAUUAUUUUCUGUGUAUGUUUGUGAGUCACAUGUGCCUGGGCUGAUGCAAAUAAAGGCCAGAACAUAUUAGACCCUCUGGAACUGGAGUUAUAGGUGUUUGUGAGCCACCAUGUGGAUGCUGGGAGUUGAACCCCAAUCCUUUGGAAGAACAUGGUCACUGGGCUGACCUUCGAUGCUUUGGUCCUCCUGCCUGCCAAACGUGAUGGGAUCACAGAUUCUAUCACUCCCAGUUUACACCAAACCUAGGGCCUUACGCAUCCACCCAUGCAAACUAUCAACAGGACUGACUCUCCAAUCCAAGUCCUAAAGUUUCAUGCAAAACACAUCAUUUAUUCAGGGAAGGAUGGAUAAGUUAGAUUUCAAAAGGACUCAUCUUGUUUAUAGAUGUUACUUCUGUAGAGGACGGAGGAAUGGAAACCUCAAAGCUAUCCAGACGUCUUAAAACAUUCUAUGUGACAUCUAUUGUCUGCCCCCGCCCGCAUCCCUUUUUCGUGUAUGAGUGUUCUGCCUGCAUAUAUGUCUGGGCACCACUGUAUCUGCAUGCCCUGUUUCUGUGGAGACCCGAGGAAGGCAUCAGAUCCCCAACAACUAGUUACAGAUGGUUACGGAAAUGUUACAUGGGUGCUGGGAGCUAACCGUAGGUCCUCUCAAAGAACAGCCAGUGUUUUUUUUGUUUUUUCGAGACAGGGUUUCUCUGUGUAGCCCUGGCUGUCCUGGAACUCACUCUGUAGACCAGGCUGGCCUCGAACUCAGAAAUCCGCCUGCCUCUGCCUCCCGAGUGCUGGGAUUAAAGGCUUGCGCCACCACCGCCCAGCUCAGCCAGUGUUAACUGCUAAACCUUCCUCUGUUGUUUCUUGAGACAGGGUGUGGCACAGCCUAGGCUGGUCUCCUACUCAGUAAGUAGCUGAAGAUGACAUUCAACUUCUGUCUCCCAGGUACUGGGAUGAUAGGCAUGUGUCACCAGUAUCUAUCUGGCUUACUGCCCCACUCUCCCUUUUUCCUUUUCCUUUUUUCUGCUAGGAAUGUAAAGCCUACUAAGCAACUGCUCUCCUAUUGAGCUGUGUCCUCACUUAUGGCUUCUGUCUUACCUCUGGAUCUAUACUUACAGGUGGCUAUGGGCCACCAUGUGGGUGCUAGGAACUGAACCUGGGUCCUCCGCUAUUAAGAACUAUUAAGUUCUUUCUCUACUCUCAUUAUUUUCGAGACAGGGUCUCACCAAGUAACUCUGGCUGUCCUAGAAGCUCAUUAUGUAGAUCAGGCUGGUCUCGAACUCACAAAAGUAUGUCUGCCUCUCCUGUGAUCAAAGGUCUAAGCCUCCAACCACAGCAUCCAGCCCUGUCAAGGAUUCUUUAAAAAAAAAAAAAAAUUCAUGUAUAUUGGUGUUUUGCGUGCCAUGUGUGAACGAGUCAAUCUCCUGGAUCAGGAGUUACAGGCAGUAAUGCUGCCAUGUGGGUCCUGGGAAUUGAGCCCAGGUCUUCUAGAAGAACAGCCAGCGUUCUUAACCACGAGCCAUCUCUCCAGCCCCAUCAUGGAUUCUUGAGAAUCACAGGAAUCCAAGAACAUAAGGCCCUAAAAAAUCUGAAUAAAAAUUUAAGAGACAAGGCUCUCAAUUAGUACUUAUAGGGAUGGGAUUGCGGUACCACGGAUACUGAAGCCCUCCCUGACUCUAGACUUUGUUUCCUCCGGCUUCAUUUCUGAAGACUCCACACUGAAGUAAGAACGAUGGCAGCACAAUAUCCACAGGUAAUGUCUACAUUUAUUUUAUACCAAAAAAGUUAUGUGCAACAAAUAAACAUUCUUACAUAUGUACAUCUGUUUUUAUUUACCAGUUAGCAAAAUGCUAUCCUAAAUCUCUGAUAAAGAAUAUUUCUAUCUAUAUUAAAGAGGGAAUCUCCCCGGUGAACUCCUUCUUACAUGAAGGCUUACUCAGGAGCUUUCGAAGCAGGAGUAGUAUUUUAGAUGGACCACACUUCACAGGUCAUAGACACCUAUUAUCUAUGCUAUUAUCUUAGUACAGCCUCAUAACACUUCACCUCUCCUGGGCCAAUCGGUUUAAAAGGGGGAAGGGAGGGCCUGAUCACAUUGCCUGGAUUCCUACCCUGUUCUUUAUGACAAGGUUGUUCUCACAAAAUAGGAUUCAUACACAUACUGCCUAAAAUGCUAAAAGGUGGAGAGGGGUGGCUUCACUGAUGUAUACGCACUGGAAGAAGUCGGGGAAGUUCACAGCCCCAAACAAGUUCCUGGACAGAACAGUGGGGGACUCUGCUGACAUUUUACUGACAUUUUACUGACUUUUAAGGUCAGGUCACCCACCACCUGCCAGUAUCCACCAGAAUCAACUGGUGGCACCAACUAGAGCUUAGCAAGUAACUGCUGAGCAGUUUUUGUGUUUUGAGUUUUUGCUUUUCUAGAAACAUGGUCUCAAAAUAGCCCAGAUUGCCCCUGAAUGAACUUCUGGUCUUCCUGCCUCUACUUCCCAAGUGCUGGGUUUAUAGGCAUGUACUACCAUGCCUGGCUGCAUUUUUAGUCUUUUGAAUAUAAUUAUAAAUAAAACAAAAAAGCAACAAUAUUAAUUUUAUUGUCCUCUACCUCAUAGGUACAAGGAUCUUUUGUAGCAAACGAAAUACUUUCAUAUCUAUGUGGGUGUUUUGCCUGCAUAUAUGUCUAUACACCAUAUGCAUGCAGGGCCUUCAGGAGCCAUGAGAGGGGGUCAGAUCCCCAGGAAUUGGAGUUGCAGCUAAAGGUUAAGCAGACAUGUGGGUGGUUGGCGCCAAACCUGGGUCCUUUACAAGUGUUCUUAACUGCUAAGCCACCUAUCUCCCCAGCCCCCAGAACUUGUCUCUUUACUUGAAAAAACUCAAAUGCUUUUCAACAUUCCUUCUGUAUAUGAAUCUGAGCACUUGGGAGGCUAAGGCAGGAGGAAUGUCAAGUUUGAAGCCAGCCUGGGCUAUGUACUGAGCUCUAGGACAGCCUAGGCUACAGAGAAAGAUUAUCUGUCUCUUUAAAAACAAAACAAAACAACAACCACAACAAAAGAGCUGAAGGAGAGGCUAUACAGAUGAAGCAAAAAAUAAUUCUUGGAAUAUAGCUAGUGCAACUAGUUAAACCUGAGUUGUACCAGAAGUUUACCCUCCCUGACAAAACUAGCUGUGGGAAAGGAUCAAGGGAAAUCCCAUAAGCCAACCACAGGCUCUGGAGCACACCUAGCCAGACUUUCUCUUCCUCCCGAAAAUCUGAAGUGAGGCUUCCACUGUUAUGAAUCACUUCGAAAGCAUGAAGCCCAGAAUUACUGCAGGAAUCAUUUUCCCCCUGGUCUGCCCUUCCGUAUUUAUUGUUAAAUCAACUAGCAGUGUUAUUAUUUUGUGGGUAGGCUUUUUGAGUCAGGGUUUCACUAUAUAACCCUGGUUGUCCUGGAGCUCCUUAUCUAGGCUAGGGUGGCCUAGAACUCAGAAAUCCACCUGCCUCUGCUCCCCAAGUACUGAGUGAGACUCAAGGUGUGUGUCACCAGGCCCAGCCAAACCCUGCUUCUUCAGUGUUUAAAUACUCUGUCUGAAACAGUCAUAACAAUAUUAGCAGUUUUAUAACACAGUGUUUUUCUCCCCCGUUCUAUAAGGUUUAAUAGAUGGUAGAGAAGAAGACUGGAUUCCCUCAGGGCAAAACUACCAAAUAAAACACAACAGGCUCACUUAUAGAGAACAUAUAUUUUAGCAAAAAAAAAAAAAAUUUUUUUUUAAAAAGCUAGGGUCUCCUGUAGCUAAUGCUGGUCUCUAUUUUGCUAUGUAGUCAAGGAUGACCUUGAAUUCCUGAUCCUCCUGCAUUUAUAUCCCAAGUGAUGGGACUGCAGGCAAGCAUGAGCACACUGUUCGGCAAAUGCUGUUAUUUCCAACAGCACCUGUUAACGCUCAGUGAGAAAGGGGUAUUCAUCCUAUUAGGUCACAGGAAUGUAACAAACAAACAAACAAACAAGCAAUUCAUACAAUCAGUAAUGGUGGUACUCCCAAGACUUAGGAAAGCAAAGGGAAGCCUUGAGGGGUCUGGUGGAGGGAACCCUCUCACAUUUUCUUGAGUAAGGGUUGGAGACAUCUGCAAUGUCAAGACAAGCUUUAACUCCACUCUGCUGAGUGAUAGAAGACAGAAAAGGUCAUUUGGAAAUGGGGCCCAAGGGACAUGUUUAGCAGAGCCUUGAUAUGUAAGCAGCAGAAGUCUUAGCGAGUAGCCAUUCCACUGCCUUGGGAGACCUGGACACAGGGCUAUGAGAUGAGCUCACUGUACAGUUCUCGAACGAGGACUUGGUUGACCACAAAGACCAUUCAGUACUUUCUAGACGUUCUCUAACUACUUCAGAAGACAACAGCAAUGCAUACACAGUAAGAUAGUCACAGAAAUGUUCACAUUCACGGGGAAACACAACCUUUGAUGAAAUUGGAAUUAAGCGGUCUUUUAAGGAACUGGUUAGAGCCUCCUAAAGGAACAUUACAAUUCCCAUUUUAUACCUGCCCCAGGCCAGAAAUCCUAUGGUGCAUCAGUUUCGACUGAAAGUCGUAAACCACUCAACCAUUGCUGUCUCAGAGUACCCUGUCUAGUUGCCUAUUUUUUAGCAUAUUAACCAAAUCAUAAAAAAAACACUGCCACUUCUCCACCCAAGGAAUAAAAUGGCCGCACAGACCUUCCUGGUAGAAUGCAAGUUCAAGUUCUCUGCUUCGUGGUAAGGAAGGGAAGGAGGGAUACUUCUGCCCCAGUUCUACCCACAGAAUGAUUUGGUUUGAGAUUUUAAGACAGAAGGCACUUUUAACAUCUCCUGUAAGAUGCUAACCAGAGAAACACAGUCGCCAUGCCACUGGGGUGUGUACUUAGAUCACCUCUGGGUUUCUUCUCACUGCUUCUGUGUGGCUACUGGAGUGGGACAAAGCUUCCAUGUUUCUCUUCCAGGUCUUUCUACGUUUGUGUUUCUUCUGAGUCAGCAAACAGUUUCUCCCGAUAGUCCUAAGGUUUACAAAUUCAGUAUGUGAUUCUGAAACACUUACUGACCAUCCUUAGUGCAAGAAGAAACAAGAAGGGGAAACACUAUGGACCGACCUCAGAGCACUUGGCUUGUGCCUGCUUCAGUCAUAAUACUGCUGAGCUGACUGGCACUGGAAUCAAGGGAACACAUGUGUUGAGAGCUCAGCUACUGUUUAAGAGGCAUUGCCCAGAAACGCCAUAGUGGUUUUUCUCCAAAGACUACAUCCACUUCCCACAUCAGUGUCCUGAGAGCCUUGAAAUGAAAGGUCUAGUCACGUGACAUCCUGUAGAGUUCCAAUCCAUCCAGUUCUGACUAGUCAGACUUGAGCUGGGUGUUCAGACUGUUUCUUCCUCUCUGAGUGGGAGAUGGAAGGGAAUCAACCACCCUGUUUCUGCUGUCAACACUGCACCAGGGCUGUCAGCGCAUUUCCCAAGAUGUUCUGUUUGCCUGUACUUUCUUCACUAUGUAUCAGUCACGAUGAGCUGACAAUUCCUUUCUACACUUCAACUAAACUGUACAGUAAGUUCUGCAGGGGUGGAUCCCAAUGUUUCUACCUUUAUUUACAAAUAUCACACAAAUGGACUCUAAUUGAAUCUACAGGUUUAAAUCCAUCGGCUAAAAACAUAUUACAUAUUGUAAACAUGGCAAUAUUUAAUACAGUAUCUAUUCUAAAAUAUUUUCAUGUUCAUGAUCACAUUUGUUAUACCUGAAAUUGAAUUUAUACACAUUAAAGAAUUACUAGCAAUGGCUGCUCACUUUAGUUGAGGACUGGGGGCUAGGGCUACAUUUUAUUAUCUCAGAAACAUCUUCAAGGUAAAGUUAAAGCUUGUCUUUGAUUGGCUCGGUGUAUCCUUUUUUGUAUCCAGAUUUAAAAUGAAGACCGACACAGGAAAUAGCUAGGGCCCCUUCUAAUUUACAAUAUUUUAAAAAAUCAGUUUAAGAUUCUGAGGGAAAGUGUCUGUUGUGAAUUAAAAAACAAAAAACAAAAAA